GGGGAUUUAGCUCAGUGGUAGAGCGCUUGCCUAGCAAGCGAAAGGACCUGGGUUCGGUCCCCAGCUCCG
rnacentral:tRNA from 1 species